GUAGGUGGCAAGCGUUGUCCGGAAUUAUUGGGCGUAAAGCGCGCGCAGGCGGUUCUUUAAGUCUGAUGUGAAAGCCCACGGCUCAACCGUGGAGGGUCAUUGGAAACUGGAGAACUUGAGUACAGAAGAGGAAAGCGGAAUUCCACGUGUAGCGGUGAAAUGCGUAGAGAUGUGGAGGAACACCAGUGGCGAAGGCGGCUUUCUGGUCUGUAACUGACGCUGAGGCGCGAAAGCGUGGGGAGCAAACAGGAUUAGAUACCCUGGUAGUCCACGCCGUAAACGAUGAGUGCUAAGUGUUAGGGGGUUUUCCGCCCCCCUUAGUGCUGCAGCUAGCGCAUUAAGCACUCCGCCUGGGAGUACGGCCGCAAGGCUG
rnacentral:rRNA from 1 species